AGGGACCCGGCCAAGUUCAGCUUCCUGAACUGCGGGGAGCUUGGCGGGCGGUCGCUGCAAGCCGGGCGUAGGCCGCAGAGGUCGCGAGUUCAGGCGUCCCGGCUCCCGUGUGACUGUCGUGAUGUUUUUCUCCCAGGCCGGGGCCCGGCCGCGGAUGUGGGAAGCCAGCCCGUCAGAACACAAGAAGUGGGUGGAAGUAUUUAAAGCAUGCGAUGAAGAAAACAAAGGCUGUCUAAGCAGAGAGAACUUUAAAGUUGCUGUUGUAAUGCUGUUUGGAUACAAGCCCUCCAAGAUAGAAGCUGAUGCUGUGAUGUCCUCAGUAGAUCCAAACACUUCCGGGAUAUUACUUAAGGAGUUUUUAGACAUUGUAAGGAAAAAGAAGGAAGCUCAACUAUAUCGGAAUGAAAUAAGACACAUCUUCACAGCUUUUGACAGGCACUAUCGUGGAUAUUUAACUCUGGAAGAUUUCAAAAAAGCAUUUAAGCAGGUGGCUCCCAAGUUAUCGGAAAGGAUUAUUCUCGAGGUAUUCAGCAGACUGAGAAUUUUCAGCAAGUGUUUACCCUGCCAUGUUGACUCAGAAGUCUAAUAAUCCCUACUCCAACCUCUUACUCAGCUGAAUCUCUCAUUCGGGCACACCCCUAACGUUUGCAGGGCCUGGGGCAAGGUACAAACAGAAGCCCGCAUGCUAUAUGUCUAUAGAUACGAAAAUUAUAAAUCAAGAGUAUCGGGAAAGGGUCAUUGUGGUGCAUAGACCCAGAGUAUAGACAAAAUCUAAUUCAGGCUUCGAAAAAGACACCUUAUCACCCACACUCGAAUGUGUUCAAUACACCUCCCGCCUCUCCUCAGGCAUAUCAAAGCACAUCAGGUCCACCCCUCUGGCCGGGCAGCACCUUCUUCAAGAGAAAUGGAGCCCUUCUACAAGACAGGUUCACUGUCAAGCGGGCACUUCGAGAGUCUGCUGGAAUUACCUCUCUGGCUCAUCCUGCUUCCCACCCUUGGGGCCCUUCACCAGAGCCAGAUUGGAAGCCUGGCGUUUCAUGCCCAUGUGAGCGUGCCAUCCGGGAGGAGAACCUGCCUAGUUAACUCAAGGCCCCACAAAGUGCCGCUGUGUUUGCUGAGUGCCCUGGGUGAGGCCCCAGGGAUGCUUCCCGGACUACCUGAGAGAGUCCCCAGUCCUUCUGUGGCAUGAACUUGAAGAUAAAAACGGGUGGUCAAGAGAGCCUCCCAGUGGCCGCUGCGUGGCACAGCAGGACAGGCAGUCCAAAGGGGCUUGACAGCUGGCAAGUAUUCCCAUAUUUUAGUGCCUUUUUAAGGAACACACGUGCAUACAAAGGGUAGUCCUUUUCAUAUCCCCCAUUUUUCACAUCUCCAUUAUCAUUUCAUUAUUCAUUUCUGUCUUACAGAAUCUGCAGCUUAGUCAAUUCUUUUGGUUUUAAGGUGGGAAGACCUGCCUGUGUCUGUAUCCCUGGGGCUCCUCUAAAGCUGCCGGUUUGUGAGAUGAUUUCAUGGUUUCUUUUACAUGUAUCAAAUGUCUACCCUACAAAGAACCGGGUGGAGUUAACAGCUGAGCAAAGAUUAGAGAGGGAAGCUGUGAUUUGUUGUUACCUCUGUAGAAGAGUGUACAUGCCAUUUGACAAAAAGAAAAAUGUCCAGUUUUAAAGAGUCUGUUUACUCUCUGAAGGGUUAUCAGAUUGACAGCUCAGAUUCGCCCAUGCCCUCCAAACUCUACUGUGUUUUCAAACACGGGUAUUGAGAUUAUAUGUUCUUAGUGAAAUUCGGCUCCCAUUCCCCAAAGAACUCAGCACUCUCUAGUACCCUAAGAACGACUCUCCCCGCAAGGUUCAACUCUCUACUUUAUGGGACUAAUCAGAGGCACUGAAACGACACUGGCAAUCUCUCAACUUCCUCUCACCUUUGUACUGGCAAACUUGGUACACGUGCCGAUAUUCAUUUAUCCCACUUGCCCUCCUGUCUCGGAGGAAGCGAGAUUUCUUUCUUUUCACUGAAGCUAACUCUCCUAUGAAUGAAGUUGAUCCCACCUCACUUCUGCAGAGCACUGUGCCCACAGUUAGUCUCUUUUUGAACAACUUCUCCCUCUCUGUCAGAGGCUUCCUCCAGUGUGAAUGCUUCCAUGUCCCCAGCCUGUCCCCCACUGCCCCUCGACGGCGUCCUCAGGGCUGAGGCCAGCUCCUCAUCUCCCAUCCUCUCCUUAACCCACUUCAGUCAGCCUCCUGCUGCUACCACUCUACAGAGACUACUCUUGCCGUGGUCACCGGUGCCUUCACACAAACCACCCAGAGCUCUUCGUCCCAGAGCUCCACUCCCCAGGCCUUCCCCUCAUAAAUGAAAGAGCACUGCCACACGCCCAGUCGCUGAGACCAAACACCUGCACUUGAGUGUAUCCUGCUCCAAUCUGUUAGAACUUCUUGUUAUCUCUACCUUCACUGGGACCCUGACCGCUUUUCUGUCUGUCACUUCUGACUUGUAUCGCUGCCACUGCCUAACUUCUCUGCCUCCCAACAGACUACAGUCUGUUCUCCCCAAAGCAGCCAGGAGAGCCUCUUAAAUUAAGAGUACUUUAUGCGCCUGCUCCAGAUCUGCCAGAGGUUUCCCAUCAAACAAAUACCUUCUUCCCGUGGCCUGCAAGUUACGAGGCCCUGUGCGGUACGGCCUUGUCCUUCCGUGACCUCAUCACCUAUGCUCUUUCCCUCAUUCCCCGCUCGGAUCACAAUGGCCACCUUGCUUUUCCUUGAACACACAGAACAAGUUCCUGUCUCAGAGCCUUGCACUUGUCCCCUCUGCCCGUAAUGCCAGCGUACCUGAUCUUCCUCAGUUCAGCCACGUCCUGGGUUCAAACAUUACCUCUUUAAAGAGGCUCUUCCUGAGCUUUCUAGCAAGCCCCUCUAAUCACUUUAUCCCUUUACCUUGCUUUCUCUUCAUGGUUUUUACCACUACUUGAAAUAGUCAUCUUUUAAAAAACACUCAUUAAAAAAAACACUUAUACUUUGCUAUACACCUGAAACUAGCACAACACUGUAAAUCAACUGUACUCCGAUAAAAAAAAAAAAAAAAAAAAUUUACGUCUUCCACACUUGCUCCAUAAAGGCAAGAACUUUAUUUAUCCAACUUGUUCUCUCCUCCACCCCCCACAUGUAGAAAAGUGACACAGAGUAGGUAUUCAGUGACAUGGUAUUUAUGACAUGAGCAACUUCUUGGUAGCAUUUAGCGUUUGGACCAUACUCUCCUUCUUGAACCUCUCCUGGUGUCUCUUAGGGUUCUCUGCUGGGUUUCCUACCACUGUAGCCACUCCUCUGGGGAUCUGUCCCUUAAGUGCUGACAGUCCCUACAGAUCUAUCUUCUACCCACUUUUUAUUUUACAUACUUUCUCUGCAUUUGAACAGCUACACUUAAUGCCCUCCCUCUAGCUCAGAUUCAUGCUCCAAUCCCAUAUAUUCAAAUGAUUACUAGACACUGCCAUUCUGCUGUCUCGCAGGUACAUCAAGCUUAACUUGUCUACAAAGAAAUGCCUCUCUUCCAACCCAAACACUCUCCUUCCUGCAUUUCCUAGCUCUCCAUAUGCAAGCACCAUUCCUGCCUCUCUCAAGCAUGUGCUAAGCACUCCAAGUGGCCUGUAGCUCCAAGAAAAGGCCUGUGUCUGAUCCAGUACCCACUGAGGGGUCUCUUUUCAAAAGGACAAGCCUCCUGUCCUAAAUUCUGCCUUGAUAGGAGCAGGCAGUGAGUGGCCUAAGUAUUCCUUCCCUGCAGACCACGCAGCUGACUUUCCCCCCUACAGGUCUGCUAUAGGGAGAAGUAAAACAAUCCCAACUGCCUCUCACUUGAAUAUGAUUUAUUAUUCAAAUGAUAAAAUCUUACCAUAGGAAUUAGGAAUGGAUGACAAAAAGGUCCUUACACAGCUGUAGCUUAGCAGGCUAACUAGAGGAAAGCCUUCUGAAGUCCUACUGGCACCCUAGUCCUGGGCAACUUCACAUGCAGGCAAUAAGAGGACAGCAGGGAUGGUUAACACCAUUAUCCAUUAUCCAAGGAACAGAGAACUGAGGGCAGUAGUUCUCAGUCAGGACACACAUCAGAACUGCCUAGGCAGUACAGUCUGGGACUCAGCUUCAAACUACCCGGAACCUGUUUCUGCCUGUGGACCAGAGCGUUCAGUUAUUGCCCCGCCCUACCACCACAACAUGCGUCGUCUGUGUGUGCGUGUGUGCACUGUGCGUGCAUGUGUCCCCUCAGGCGUGGAAGGAGAAACCAGAAAUCUCUCCUGCUGCCUUUAAUAGCAAUUGUUUUGUGAUGAGAAAAGCAAUGGCAACAUUUUAAAUCAUAAUGAUUAUUAAAGCUCAAAUGUGUAUACUUUA